GACGAACGCUGGCGGCGCGCUUAACACAUGCAAGUCGAACGGAAAGGCCCUGCUUUUGUGGGGUGCUCGAGUGGCGAACGGGUGAGUAACACGUGAGUAACCUGCCCUUGACUUUGGGAUAACUUCAGGAAACUGGGGCUAAUACCGGAUAGGAGCUCCUGCUGCAUGGUGGGGGUUGGAAAGUUUCGGCGGUUGGGGAUGGACUCGCGGCUUAUCAGCUUGUUGGUGGGGUAGUGGCUUACCAAGGCUUUGACGGGUAGCCGGCCUGAGAGGGUGACCGGCCACAUUGGGACUGAGAUACGGCCCAGACUCCUACGGGAGGCAGCAGUGGGGAAUAUUGCACAAUGGGCGGAAGCCUGAUGCAGCAACGCCGCGUGCGGGAUGACGGCCUUCGGGUUGUAAACCGCUUUCGCCUGUGACGAAGCGUGAGUGACGGUAAUGGGUAAAGAAGCACCGGCUAACUACGUGC
rnacentral:rRNA from 1 species